CUUUGGUAAGUAUAAGUUUGUACAGUUACCUUCCAAGUAGAAAGCCUGGCCAGGACCAGACCAAAGA
rnacentral:tRNA from 1 species